rnacentral:lncRNA from 1 species
CUUCCUUCAUACUUAGUUCAUUUCUCACUUUCCUUUGUCUCUCUUCCUCUCCUCUCUCUCUGCUCUCUCUCUCUCUCUAACUCUCUUUUGAAGCCCUAACUCUCACCAUCAUUCAAAGUCCACAACUACCUUAUAAGUCCACGACUUCCAGAUCUUUCUUGGAAGCUCAUCCGAUAUCUUCAAUCGAUAUUCAUCUAGGUGAUGAACACCUUUCGAGAACCUUAAAUCAUACGAACCCUAACCCCAACCUGACAAACCAUGACCCUCAACUUCC